rnacentral:rRNA from 1 species
AUUGAACGCUGGCGGCAUGCCUUACACAUGCAAGUCGAACGGUAACAGGUCUUCGGAUGCUGACGAGUGGCGAACGGGUGAGUAAUAUAUCGGAACGUGCCCAGUAGUGGGGGAUAGCCCGGCGAAAGCCGGAUUAAUACCGCAUACGACCUGAGGGGGAAAGGGGGGGAUUCGCAAGAACCUCUCGCGAUUGGAGCGGCCGAUAUCAGAUUAGGUAGUUGGUGGGGUAAAGGCCUACCAAGCCUGCGAUCUGUAGUUGGUCUGAGAGGACGACCAGCCACACUGGGACUGAGACACGGCCCAGACUCCUACGGGAGGCAGCAGUGGGGAAUUUUGGACAAUGGGCGCAAGCCUGAUCCAGCAAUGCCGCGUGCAGGAAGAAGGCCUUCGGGUUGUAAACUGCUUUUGUCAGGGAAGAAAUCCUCUGGGUUAAUACCUCGGGGGGAUGACGGUACCUGAAGAAUAAGCACCGGCUAACUACGUGCCAGCAGCCGCCGUAAUAC